rnacentral:rRNA from 1 species
UACAGAGGGGGCAAGCGUUGUUCGGAAUUAUUGGGCGUAAAGAGCUCGUAGGCGGUUUGUCGCGUCUGCUGUGAAAACUCGGGGCUUAACCCCGGGCCUGCAGUGGGUACGGGCAGACUAGAGUGCGGUAGGGGAGACUGGAAUUCCUGGUGUAGCGGUGAAAUGCGCAGAUAUCAGGAGGAACACCGGUGGCGAAGGCGGAUCUCUGGGCCAUUACUGACGCUGAGGAGCGAAAGCGUGGGGAGCGAACAGG